rnacentral:rRNA from 1 species
UACGAAGGGGGCUAGCGUUGUUCGGAAUCACUGGGCGUAAAGCGCACGUAGGCGGCUUUGUAAGUCAGGGGUGAAAUCCCGGGGCUCAACCUCGGAACUGCCUUUGAUACUGCAAAUCUCGAGUCCGGAAGAGGUGAGUGGAAUUCCUAGUGUAGAGGUGAAAUUCGUAGAUAUUAGGAAGAACACCAGUGGCGAAGGCGGCUCACUGGUCCGGUACUGACGCUGAGGUGCGAAAGCGUGGGGAGCAAACAGG